rnacentral:rRNA from 1 species
AACGAACGCUGGCGGCAGGCUUAACACAUGCAAGUCGAACGGGUGCAGCAAUGCAUCAGUGGCAGACGGGUGAGUAACACGUGGGAACCUUCCUAGGGGUACGGAACAACUCAGGGAAACUUGAGCUAAUACCGUAUACGUCCGUAAGGAGAAAGAUUCAUCGCCCCUAGACGGGCCCGCGUCGGAUUAGGUAGUUGGUGGGGUAACGGCCUACCAAGCCUGCGAUCCGUAGCUGAUCUGAGAGGAUGAUCAGCCACACUGGGACUGAGACACGGCCCAGACUCCUACGGGAGGCAGCAGUGGGGAAUCUUGGACAAUGGGCGCAAGCCUGAUCCAGCCAUGCCGCGUGAAGUGAAGAAGGCCUUAGGGUUGUAAAGCUCUUUUACCAGGGACGAUAAUGACGGUACCUGGAGAAUAAGCCCCGGCAAACUUCGUGCCAGCCGCCGCAGU